rnacentral:rRNA from 1 species
GAUGAACGCUGGCGGCGUGCCUAAUACAUGCAAGUCGAGCGAACGGACGAGAAGCUUGCUUUUCUGAUGUUAGCGGCGGACGGGUGAGUAACACGUGGAUAACCUACCUAUAAGACUGGGAUAACUUCGGGAAACCGGAGCUAAUACCGGAUAAUAUUUUGAACCGCAUGGUUCAAAAGUGAAAGACGGUCUUGCUGUCACUUAUAGAUGGAUCCGCUCUGCAUUAGCUAGUUGGUAAGGUAACGGCUUACCAAGGCAACGAUGCAUAGCCGACCUGGGAGGGUGAUCGGGCACGCUGGGACUGAGACACGGUCCAGACUGCUACGGGAGGCAGCAGUAGGGAAUCUUCCGCAAUGGGCGAAAGCCGGGCGGAGAAACGCCGCGUGAGUGAUGAAGGUCUUCGGAUCGUAGAGCUCUGUUAUUAGGGAAGAACAUAUGUGUAAGUAACUGUGCACAUCUUGAGGGUACCUAAUCAGAAAGCCACGGCUAACUGCGUG